rnacentral:tRNA from 1 species
GGGGAUUUAGCUCACUGGUAGAGCGCUUGCCUAGCAAGCACAAGACCCUGGGUUCGGUCCCCAGCUCUG